AAAACAGACUUGGCUGGCUGCCCCAGCAGUGGGAUCUAAGGAGGCUGGGUUCUUGGGGUAUGUCCACCAUGGCCUGGAUUCCUCUCCUCCCCUUCUUUACCCUCUUCACAGGUUCUCUGGCCUCCUAUGUGCUGAAGCAGCCUCCCUCCAUAUCUGAGACGCUGGGGAAGCCAGCCACCCUCACCUGUGAAGGGGAUCUACUUGAUAAAAAGUAUGCUUACUGGUACCAGCAGAAAUGGGGAGAGAGUCCCAUGCUCAUUAUUUACAAGGACAAGGAGCGCCCACAGGAGGUCUCAGACCGAUUCUCCGGCUCCAGCAGCAACAAAGUGGCUUCUUUAACCAUCUCUGGAGUCCAGGCUGAGGAUGAGGCUGAUUACUACUGUCUGUCCUUUGAUGAGAAUGACAAACCCACAAUGACUGAGAGAGCUGAGGAAGUGAGACAUAAACCCUUGUGAUCUUUAAUAUCUUCCUAAGGCAAUUCAGAUGGAAGUGAUUCCAUUUCCUGGUAUGGUGCUUGGUAGAUCGUCCGGGCUUCACAGGCAUACAAGAAUGAGAGCAACACCACGGCUCUGUAGACCUUCAGUUUGGUAAUCAACCUAAUAUCUCUCCUCUCCCACACUUGCCUUCAAAGACUCUUUUGGGUAGAACUCACACAUGGCAAGUGUGAGUUAGCUCUGGUAAUGCAUGUGUCAAUGCCAUUAUCAAGGCAGGCUUUCCUGGAAAGUAAGUAUACUGCCAAGGUAAGUAGCCCUAACCCCUGAGGCAAUCAGGAAAGAGUUCCUGGAGAAGAUAUGGAACCCACCAUUUUUCUAUUGAAAAAUGUACAAGAGUCUGUUUUCUUUGUUUCCCUAUCCAUUGAAAAAAAAGAAAAACUUUUUUUUUUUCUGAAGCAAUUGAGGUUCAGUGACUAACCCAGGAUCCCACACAGCUAGGAAGUGGUAAGUAACUGAGACCAGAUUUGAACUCAGGUCUUCCUGACUUCAGGGCUGGUGCUCUAGCCACUGGAUCACCAGCUGUCCGCCAAAAACAAAGUCUUAAAAAAUAAUAUGCCAGUUCUCACUUUUGGAAGCCAAGAUGGCAAAUAAGCAGUGAAUUGCUGUAACCCUUUCAUGUUCACCUCUGGAGAAGCAUAAAAUGACAUCCCAGAAAAGAUCCUGCAACAAGCAAGGAGACAGGGGAAACAAUCUUAAUCUAGGUAAGUUGGAGGCUAGGCAGAAGAGGUCCCUCUCACUUUAGUAAGGGUGGGUUUUUUAGCCCAAAACAGGAAGCUCCCAGAGAGCUGGCAGUAAGCCCCACUGCAGUAGAUAGAACUCAAUAGAAGAUUCAAAAGGUAGUUAAAAUCAUAUAAGAGAGGUAGAAGAAAAUUUGGGUAAAGAAAUGAGAGCGAUACAAAGGCAUUAUGAAAAAGAGUUAACAGCUUACAAAACUGCUUAAAACGCAGAAUUGGCCAAAUGAAAAAGAGCUACAAAAACCUACUGUAGAAAACAACUCCUUAAAGAGUAAAACUGAAAAAAUCAUAAAAUACCUUUUUUAAUCGCAAUUCAUGCAGAUCAGUCAUAAUUGAUUUCAAUAGGAUCAUCAUUAUUCUAAGAAAACAAGGAAGACAAAAGCAAAUUAAAAUAAAAACAAUACAUAUAUAUGACAUGAAGGAGUGUGAGAAGGAUUUUUAAAAGGAUUAAGUCUAUGAAAAGCAUCAAUUAUAGAAUAUGCCAAUUCUUCUGAAUCAAUUCCAGGCAAGAGAGAAUUUUCAACAUCAGAAGUGAUUACAUGGAAAUUAUUGGUAUCCAAGGGAACAUUGGUGUCAUGCCAAGCUCCUAAGAGUUGUGCAUGUAUCUUUUCUCAUAAUAUAUUCGGGUCAGGGGUAUUGCAUAUUAAAGGAAUAAUAGAAAUGAAUAGCAA